UUUUUAUACGCCCGUCUAUGACGGGACGUAUUAUGGUAUACCCCGCGUCCGUCCGUCCGUCCGUCUGUUAAUGUCGUACGCUACGUCAAAUAUCCUUUGACAGAUUUUCUUCAAAUUUUAACACAAUCUUAAUAUUGAUAAACCCUGAUCCCCUUUCGUUUUUGACGGAAUUCUGAAUUGUCGUUCCAGAGUUAUGGGACUUUGUUCGUCAAAAUUUCGUGAUUUCAUUGAAUGUCCUACUGUAGCUAUAUAAAAAUGUUAAAGUUGUUAUAACUUUGGUAUGCUUGGACCUAGAGUCUUGAAACUUGACAUGAAGGUUGGCCAGAACUAGUAAGUAACCACUGGACAUUUCAAGGUCAUUCAUUUGAAGGUCAAGGUCACUGUGACCUUGAAUGUAAAAAUGUUAAAGUUCUUAUUUCAUGUUAUAACUUUGGUAUGCUUGUACCUAGAGUCUUCAAACUUGAAAUAAAGAUUGGCCAGUACUAGAAGAUGACCACUGGUCAUUUCAAUGUCAUUCAUUUGAAGGUCAAGGUCACUGUGACCUUAAAUGUUAAAAUGUUAAAAUUGUUAUAACUUUGGUAUGCUUGGACAUAGAGUCUUCAAACUUGACAUGAAGGUUUGCAAGCACACUUAGAUGACCACUGGUCAUUUCAAGGUCAUUCAUUCUAAGGUCAAGGUCACUGUGACCUUAAAUGUUAUUGUUGUUCAUGUAUCCUACCGUAGCUCAAAUAUCCCCCGAUGGAUUUUUUAUACGCCCGUCUAUGACGGGACGUAUUAUGGUAUACCCCGCGUCCGUCUGUCCGUCCGUCCGUCCGUCCGUCCGUCUGUUAAUGUCGUACGCUACGUCAAAUAUCCUUUGACAGAUUUUCUUCAAAUUUUAACACAAUCUUAAUAUUGAUAAACCCUGAUCCCCUUUCGUUUUUGACGGAAUUCUGAAUUGUCGUUCCAGAGUUAUGGGACUUUGUUCGUCAAAAUUUCGUGAUUUCAUUGAAUGUCCUACUGUAGCUCAAAUAUCCCUUGAUGGAUUUUUUUCAAAUUUCAACACAAUCUUAAUAUUGAUAAACCCUGAUCCCCUUUCGUUUUUGACGGAAUUCUGAAUUGUCGUUCCAGAGUUAUGGGACUUUGUUCGUCAAAAUUUCGUGAUUUCCAUGCUCAUGUACUUAUAAAAUAAACCAUGUAUUCAAAUACAAAUAAACUGAAGUAAAAAAAUGA